rnacentral:rRNA from 1 species
CCUACGGGGUGCAGCAGGCGAGAAAACUUUGCAAUGUGCGAAAGCACGACAAGGUUAAUCCGAGUGGUUUCUGCUAAAGAAACCUUUUGUCAGUCCUAGAAACACUGAUGAAUAAGGGGUGGGCAAGUUCUGGUGUCAGCCGCCGCGGUAAAACCAGCACCUCAAGUGGUCAGGAUGAUUAUUGGGCCUAAAGCAUCCGUAGCCGGCUCUGUAAGUUUUCGGUUAAAUCUGUACGCUCAACGUACAGGCUGCCGGGAAUACUGCAGAGCUAGGGAGUGGGAGAGGUAGACGGUACUCGGUAGGAAGGGGUAAAAUCCUUUGAUCUAUUGAUGACCACCUGUGGCGAAGGCGGUCUACCAGAACACGUCCGACGGUGAGGGAUGAAAGCUGGGGGAGCAAACCGGAUUAGAUACCCGGGUAGUCCCAGCUGUAAACUAUGCAAACUCAGUGAUGCAUUGGCUUGUGGCCAAUGCAGUGCUGCAGGGAAGCCGUUAAGUUUGCCGCCUGGGAAGUACGUACGCAAGUAUGAAACUUAAAGGAAUUGGCGGGGGAGCACCACAAGGGGUGAAGCCUGCGGUUCAAUUGGAGUCAACGCCAGAAAUCUUACCCGGAGAGACAGCAGAAUGAAGGUCAAGCUGAAGACUUUACCAGACAAGCUGAGAAGAGGUGCAUGGCC